UGCCAGCAGCCGCGGUAAUACGGGAAGGGCAUGCGUUAUCCGGCAUCACUGGGCGUAAAGCGUACGUAGGUGGCAAAGUCAGUCAGGCGUGAAAGCCCUCGGCUCAACCGAGGAAUUGCGUUUGAUACUACUUUGCUAGAGUCUCGGAGAGGUUGGCGGAAUUCCAGGUGUAGGAGUGAAAUCCGUAGAUAUCUGGAGGAACACCAGUGGCGAAGGCGGCCAACUGGACGAGUACUGACACUGAGGUACGAAAGCGUGGGUAGCAAACAGGAUUAGAUA
rnacentral:rRNA from 1 species